AGUUAAUAGGCUAAUGAGAGUAGACUUAAAAAGUUGUUACUUUUUCACUACCUGCUUUUCAGGUAAAACAAGCAAUUUAUAGGAUAAUUUUCAAGACAAGCAAUAAAAGCUUUAACCUAAGUGAUAGGUUGCAGGGAAUUAUUUAUAGACAAUCUUUUUUAAUUUUUUUUGUGAAUAGAGUUUGUGUGGACAAAGAUUCUUAAUGUUAACAGCAGUAUUGUUUGUCCUUUAUGAUUUUAGAUCAUUUAGAUGAUUUUAUUAUAUAACAUCAGGUGAGUGUACAAAAUAAUUAUACAAGUACUUAACUUGCAUCUUAUUUUUAAGGAAAUAAAAUAUUAUAAAUACAGUCUUUUCCUGCCCUUCAUUAAUACAAAUAGAAAUAAAUAUUGUGUUGAAAUCGGUGUGAAGAUUUCUCAGAACAUAUCAUAAAAAAUGGGGAAUAUUAGAAUGUGAGAUACAUAGUCAGUUGUAACUGAGGUAUUACAAAAUUAUUUAGCAAAAUGCUUGUAACCAAUUCAGUUUCCCACCAGCAAUAUGCAAGAAUUCCUCUUGCUCCAUGUUUUUGCUGGUAGUUGAUACUACUGGAUUAUUGCCAAUCUGAUGAGCUUGAAAUAUCUUUGAUGUUUUUAACUUUGAGUAUUUCUAAUUGCUAUUGAGCUUGGCCAUUUUCUCCUAUAUUUAUUUGUUUUCUCUUUAUGAUUUCUUUCAUAUAAAUGUUUUUUAUUUUAAUAUUUAACUAUCUUCUUCAUGGUUUAUGUUUGUGUAUCCUAAAUCUUCUUCUCGGUGUCAUACUUUUUUGGAGGUGGGUACUGGGGAUUGAACUCAGGAACACUCGGCCACUGAGCCACAUCCCCAGCCCUAUUUUGUAUUUAGAGGCAAGGCUUCACUGAGUUGCUUAGUGCCUCACUAUAGCUGAGGCCAGCUUUGAACCUGUGAUCCUCCUGUCAGUCUCCCUCCUGGAUUACAGGCGUGCACCACCACACCUGGCUCAGUGUCAUACUUUUUAUACUUUUCAGUACUCAUAGCCAAUUUUCAUAGUGCCAUUUAUUUAAAAGUUCAUCUUUUAUCUACCCGUGUCAUAUCAGAUUUCCACAUUAUUUUUUAUCCCUUUUUUUAGUCUUGUACCAGUUCUGUAUUCUAGCCUCGUCACCCUUUUAAGUUCUCUUUAGCUAUACAGAAAAAAAUUGCUGACUCAGUAAGCACAAUCAUAUGAUUCUUACUGUUAUUCACAGUUGAUUUGGCUACCUUGAAGCCAUUCACUCUUGUAUAAAUUUUAGGAUGAGCUUGUCAAGUUUCUAAAAAUUUUGAGGGAUUUCAUUUGGAAAGAACUGAAUUUCUCUAUUCAAUUUGGGGAAAAUUGUCAUAUUGCUGAGGCUUUGUAUUUACAAACAUGGCAUGUCUCUUCAUUUAUAUCUUUUUGCCCUCCAAUAAAGCUUUAUAAUUUUCUACAUACAGAGUUAAGGUUUGUAUCUAUUGGUCUUGUAGUUUUUGUUGCUAUUAUACAUAGUAAAUUUAAAUUAUAUUUUAAAUUGUAAUUGUUUAUUGCUGCUAUACAAAGAGUUCUGUGGAUUUUAUUGGCUUGAUAGAAAUAUGAGACAACCUUUCCAAACCUUUCAUUAUUUUUAUAAAAUAUGGAUUCUCUUUUUAUGUGGAUAAUUAUAUUAUCUGUAAAUAUUGAUAGCUUUAUUUCUUU
rnacentral:lncRNA from 1 species